AUUUGGGUGGUGGGCAGAGGAAUUUGCAGGGAGCGGACGAAGACGGACGGAGAGUUGGAGUUUGAGGAAGCCUUUCUCGGCCGGCUAGUCGUUUGACAGCGGUCUUUGAAGUUGUUGGCAACUGCGAGGCAAGAGACGGAGGAGGUCUUUGGGUGUGGAUUGUCAAACUUUGGUUUUGUCAAUCUCAUUCAAAGGCUGCAACCAUGGCGGAGCAAGGAGGAGAGGAUGGGGAGUUGGAGAGGGCUCCGGAGCAUUGGUGUUUCUGCAAUGGAGGGCACGUGGUCGAGCUCGAGGGAGGAGUCUUGGUGCUGAAUAUGAGCUGGCCUUCUGAGAGGAGACUCUGAAGAUGGGGAUGUGCUGUUCAUCCGGAAUACAUGGCGAGAAUGAAAGUUAUGAUUUGAAAGCUCAUCGCCCUCAACCUCUUCCAUCUCAAGAUUCGCCUCUGAGCCCACCUAGCAGCAGCAUGCCUAGUCAUUGAACCGGAGUCAUUUGUUACAUCAACUUGAGAUUUAGGGUUUUCCACUUCAUCCAAUUUCUCAACCUUCACAGGCAGUGAACUAGCACCAACAUCUGCUACAUUCAACCCUUCCUCGAUCAAAUCGGGCUUAAGAGCAGGCGGCGAAUCUGACUCACCACCGGAUUUCACCGCAAAACCAGCACUGUCCAAUUGCUUCCCAUCCUUCUUCUCCCCGGACGGCCCAGCUUCACAAUCAGUAGCAACAUUCUCCGGCGCUUCGAAUUUAAUCGUGGGGUUAGACAAAUUUCCCGCCUUCGGAGCUUUGCUGAGCUAGCGCGGGAUAAAAUCAGGCUUAGGGUUAGAGAGAUGGCGGCGGGGAGGCCAGAGCAGAGGAGAAAGAGAGCUACAGAGCGGCGGGUUAAAAGGGAUUUGAAGUCCUUAAGGGAGGGAACUCUAAGGAGAUUUCCUUUGUACAACGAAAUCGCCACCAUUUGUGAACGAAUUUUUUCUGUCGA